AACAUACUCCCUCCGUCCCAAAAUUCUUGUCUUAGAUUUGUCUAGAUACAGAUGUAUCAAAUACUAAAACGUGACUUGAUACAUCCGUAUCUAGACAAAUCUAAGACAAGAAUUUUGGGACGGAGGGAGUACUAU
rfam:Triticum urartu cultivar G1812 contig71512, whole genome shotgun sequence.